rnacentral:rRNA from 1 species
GAUUAACGCUGGCGGUACGUCUAAUACAUGCAAGUCGAACGGAGAACCAAGACUUCGGUUUUGUUUCUUAGUGGCGAACGGGUGAGUAACACGUAGGUAACCUGCCUUUAAGUUGGGGAUAACAGUUAGAAAUGAUUGCUAAUACCGAAUGGUUUGGUUCCGAGGCAUCUCGGAACUUAUAAAGGUCCGUUUGGAUCGCUUAAAGAGGGGCCUGCGGUGCAUUAGUUAGUUGGUAGGGUAACGGCCUACCAAGACGAUGAUGCAUAGCUGGACUGAGAGGUUGAACAGCCACAUUGGGACUGAGAACGGCCCAAACUCCUACGGGAGGCAGCAGUAGAGAAUCUUCGGCAAUGGGGGAAACCCUGACCGAGCGAUACCGCGUGAAUGAAGAAGUAUUUCGGUAUGUAAAAUUCUUUUAUUAGGGAAGAACGACAUUAGUAGGAAAUGACUAGUGAGUGACGUUACCUAAUGAAUAAGUCCCGGCUAACUAUGUGCCAGCAGCCGCGGUAAUACAUAGGGGACGAGCGUUAUCCGGAUUAAUUGGGCGUAAAGGGUGCGUAGGCGGUCUUUUAAGUUUGAGGUUUAAAUGCAUGGCUCAACCAUGUAUCGCUUCAAAAACUGGGAGACUAGAACAAGUUAGAGGCAAGUGGAAUUCCAUGUGUAGCGGUAAAAUGCGUAAAUAUAUGGAGGAACACCAGUGGCGAAGCGGCUUGCUGGGGCUUUGUUGACGCUGAGGCACGAAAGCGUGGGGAGCAAACAGG